CAAAGGCUUGGUCCUGACUUUACUAUCAGCUUUAGCCAAACUUACACAUGCAAGUAUCCGCGCCCCUGUGAGAAUGCCCUCAGUCCCCCAACCGGGAACAAGGAGCUGGUAUCAGGCACAAACUUUAAAACUUUAGCCUACAACACCUUGCUUAGCCACACCCACAAGGGAACUCAGCAGUGACAGACAUUAAGCCAUAAGUGAAAACUUGACUUAGUUAAAGCUAAACUAGGGCCGGUAAAUACACGUGCCAGCCACCGCGGUUACACGUCCGAAGGCCCAAGUUGAUAGAUGACGGCGUAAAGAGUGGUUAGAUAUUAAACAAAACUAAAGCCGAAUAUCUUCAAGGCUGUGGUAAGCACCCGAAGAUUUGAAGCCCAUUAACGAAGGUAGCUUUAUUCAAUUCGACCCACGAAAGCUAGGACACAAACUGGGAUUAGAUACCCCACUAUGCCUAGCCAUAAACAUAGAUAGUAUCACUACACCUACUAUCCGCCUGGGAACUACGAGCGCAAGCUUAAAACCCAAAGGACUUGGCGGUGCUUUAGUCCCACCUAGAGGAGCCUGUUCUAGAACCGAUAAUCCCCGUUCAACCUCACCCCUUCUUGUUUAUAUCCAGCCUGUAUACCUCCGUCUCCAGCUUACCCUGUGAAGGUCCAAUAGUAGGCACAACUGGUAAAACCCAGAACGUCAGGUCAAGGUGCAGCUUAUGAAAGGGAAAGAAAUGGGCUACAUUUACUGAAACAGUACAUACGAACGACGAAUUGAAACCAUUCGCCUGAAGGAGGAUUUAGCAGUAAGAGGAAAAUAGAGCGUUCCACUGAAACUGGCUCUAAAGCACGCACACACCGCCCGUCACUCUCCCCGAAACACCAAUUAAACCUUAAUUUAAACCACCACAUUAUCUAAAGGGGAGGCAAGUCGUAACAUGGUAAGUGUACCGGAAGGUGUACUUGGC
rnacentral:ncRNA from 1 species